GACGAACGCUGGCGGCGUGCCUAAUACAUGCAAGUCGAGCGGACUUUCAAGAAGCUUGCUUUUUGAAAGUUAGCGGCGGACGGGUGAGUAACACGUGGGCAACCUGCCUGUAAGACGGGGAUAACUCCGGGAAACCGGGGCUAAUACCGGAUAAUAUCUUUCUUCGCAUGAAGGAAGGUUGAAAGGCAGCGCAAGCAGCCGCUUGCCGAUUGGCCCGGGGCGCAUUAGCUAGGUGGUGAGGUAACGGCUCACCAAGGCGACGAUGCGUAGCCGACCUGAGAGGGUGAUCGGCCACACUGGGACUGAGACACGGCCCAGACUCCUACGGGAGGCAGCAGUAGGGAAUCUUCCGCAAUGGACGAAAGUCUGACGGAGCAACGCCGCGUGUGCGAAGAAGGUCUUCGGAUCGUAAAGCUCUGUUGUCAGGGAAGAACAAGUACCGUUCGAAUAGGGCGGUACCUUGACGGUACCUGACCAGAAAGCCACGGCUAACUACGUGCCAGCCGCCGCCGUAA
rnacentral:rRNA from 1 species